rnacentral:misc_RNA from 1 species
GAUGCUGGUGCUGCCUGGGAUUGCAGAUCUCGAAAAGCUGGCGGACUAUCUAUUUUUUGUGAUUUAGGAGAAAUGUGGUUUAGCACCUUAUCACCAUGCUCGCUACAAGGUCUCUUCCGACGGAUAAUAGUGUCUCUAUCCUCCACUGGUGACAAAUUGUGAUUAUGCAAGAUAGUUGGGUAAGGGAAGCCACCAUAAGAACCAGUAUAAUGCAAGGCAAUAGUAUCUAGUGAUGGC